rnacentral:rRNA from 2 species
UGCCUCAGUAACGGCGAGUGAAGCGGCAACAGCUCAAAUUUGAAAUCUGGGGCCUUCGGCUCCCGAGUUGUAAUUUGUAGAGGAUGCCUCGGGGGGUGCUUCGGCCCAAGUUCCUUGGAACAGGAUACCACAGAGGGUGAGAGUCCCGUAUCCGGCCGGCAGUGCCCUCCGCGCGAGGCUCCUUCGACGAGUCGAGUUGUUUGGGAAUGCAGCUCUAAGCGGGUGGUAAAUUCCAUCUAAAGCUAAAUACUGGCCAGAGACCGAUAGCGAACAAGUAGAGUGAUCGAAAGAUGAAAAGCACUUUGAAAAGAGAGUCAAACAGUACGUGAAAUUGUUGAAAGGGAAGCGUAUGGGGGCAGACUUGGCCGCGGGGUUCAGGGUGUCUUUUGGCGCCUGUACUUCCCCGUGGGCAGGCCAGCAUCGGUUUUGGGGGUUGGAUAAAGGCGUCGGGAAUGUGGCUCCCCUCGRGGAGUGUUAUAGCCCGUCGCGCAAUGCAGCCACCCGGGAUCGAGGACCGCGCUUCGGCAAGGAUGCUGGCGUAAUGGCCUCAUACGGCCCGUCUUGAAACACGGACCAAGGAGUCUAACAUCUAUGCGAGUGUUUGGGUGUCAAGCCCGAGCGCGCAAUGAAAGUGAACGGAGGUGGGAGCCCGUAAAAAGGCGCACCAUCGACCGAUCCUGACGUCUUCUGAGGGAUUUGAGUAAGAGCAUAGCUGUUGGGACCCGAAAGAUGGUGAACUAUGCGUGAAUAGGGUGAAGCCAGAGGAAACUCUGGUGGAGGCUCGCAGCGGUUCUGACGUGCAAAUCGAUCGUCAAAUUUGCGUAUAGGGGCGAAAGACUAAUCGAACCAUCUAGUAGCUGGUUCCUGCCGAAGUUUCCCUCAGGAUAGCAGUAACGUUUUCAGUUUUAUGAGGUAAAGCGAACGAUUAGGGAGCUAGGGGCUGAAACAGCCUUUAUCCAUUCUCGAACUUUAAAUAUGUAAGAAGUCCUUGUUACUUUGUUGAACGUGGACAAUCGAAUGCAGCGUUACUAGUGGGCCAUUUUUGGUAAGCAGAACUGGCGAUGCGGGAUGAACCGAACGCGGGGUUAAGGUGCCGGAAUGCACGCUCAUCAGACACCACAAAAGGUGUUGGUUCAUCCAGACAGCAGGACGGUGGCCAUGGAAGUCGGAAUCCGCUAAGGAGUGUGUAACAACUCACCUGCCGAAUGAACCAGCCCUGAAAAUGGAUGGCGCUCAAGCGUGCUACCCAUACCCCGCCGUCUGUGUUCGAUUUAGACGCAGACGAGUAGGCAGGCGUGGAGGU